CCCUACCACCCUGAACGCGUCCGAUCUCGUCUGAUCUCGGAAGCUAAGGAGGGUCGGGCCUGGUUAGUCCCUGGAUGGGA
rnacentral:rRNA from 1 species